GGGUCAUGAUUUCUGCCCAUGCCGAUCCAAUCGGACUCAGCGGAUGAAAUGCGUAGUUGGAGUUGCCCUGACUCCUUGAGAUCCGGACCAAUCGAAGGUCGCAUCCAACGGCAGAUGACGCCCCGACAACAAAGUCGUCGCCUGGUCUCCUCCGCCGCUCCCGCCACUCUCCUGCUCCUACUCCUCGCCGGCGCCGCCGACGCCGAGCCACCGCUAGUCGGCGUUUCUCCCCAGGACGAGGCGUACUUCGCGCCGCAGGUGAUCGCCUGCAGGGACGGCUCGGGCUCCUUCCCCAGGAGCCGGCUCAACGACGGAUACUGCGAUUGCACCGAUGGAACCGACGAGCCAGGCACUUCGGCUUGCCCAGAAGGCAAAUUUUAUUGUAUAAACACUGGAGAUCUUCCUCGUAUCUUGUUCUCUUCGUUUGUGAAUGAUAACAUUUGCGAUUGCUGUGAUGGAAGUGAUGAGUAUGAAAGUGGCAUCCAUUGUCCGAACACAUGUAAAAAGAGACAUGAUACUGCCGAGACAGACAAUGGUGUUAGUGAGCUGUCAGUCGCACAUUUAGGUGGAACGGACAUAAUUUCUAGUAAACAUACACUUGACAUAGAAGAUCUUAUCCAGAAGCUAAGAGGAUUAAGAAUGGCUGCAGUUAUUGAACUGGGUGUUGUUGUAUGUAUUUUCGUUUUCUACUUUGCUCGACGGAGCACUCGGGCACGGAGGAGACAAUAUAUUUUGAAACGUUAGAAAAGUUUUAAGCUUGUAGGGCUGAUCGAGAAUUGGAGAUGGGAAGGUCAGGCAUCCACAAGCAGUCGCAGCCGACACAAGGAGCCAGUCAGCCACAGCCAGUGGUGUUUUGGCCGGAUUCGGAAUUAGGGACUCAUGUAUCAUCUGAUGAAUCCAAUUUCUUUUACACUUCUGUAUCUUACUUUAUCUUGUUUUUUAGUACUCCCUCUGUAAAGAAAUACUGUAAGAACGCGUUUGGUUGGAGCUCAGGUAACGUAUUCACUGUUGUAAUGAGAAUACACUGUAUUAGAUUGGAGGUAAGUGAUUACAUGAUGUGUCUGGUUCACGCAAAGGAAUAGGAAGCCGUGGAGUGCCGUCGCGAGCCUUGUAGACUAUGCCGGAGGACCGGAGGACGGACGACUGCUGGGGAUGGCCCUUGACGGAAAAUGAGAUCACCAGCCGUUCAAACAACGCUGCUGCUCACGGCAGCGAAGCGACAUCGGCGGCGCUGCCCACGGCGUCGGCGAAGAGAGAUCGGUGGCGCUGCCCACGCCGACAGC